rnacentral:rRNA from 1 species
GUCCACGCUGUAAACGAUGAGCACUAGGUGUCGUGGGUAUUGACCCCUGCGGUGCCGUAGCUAACGCAUUAAGUGCUCCGCCUGGGGACUACGGCCGCAAGGUUAAAACUCAAAGGAAUUGACGGGGGCCCGCACAAGCGGUGGAGCAUGUGGUUCAAUUCGACGCAACGCGAAGAACCUUACCUGGGCUAGACAACGGAGGACAGCUCCAGAGAUGGGGUCUUCCCUUCGGGGACCUCCGGUUCAGGUGCUGCAUGGCUGUCGU